GACGAACGCUGGCGGCGUGCUUAACACAUGCAAGUCGAGCGGUAAGGCCCUUUCGGGGGUACACGAGCGGCGAACGGGUGAGUAACACGUGGGUGACCUGCCCUUAGCUCUGGGAUAAGCCUGGGAAACUGGGUCUAAUACCGGAUAUGACUCCAUGACGCAUGUUGUGGGGUGGAAAGCCUUGUGCGGCUAGGGGAUGGGCCCGCGGCCUAUCAGCUUGUUGGUGGGGUGAUGGCCUACCAAGGCGACGACGGGUAGCCGGCCUGAGAGGGCGACCGGCCACACUGGGACUGAGACACGGCCCAGACUCCUACGGGAGGCAGCAGUGGGGAAUCUUGCGCAAUGGCGAAAGCCUGACGCAGCGACGCCGCGUGAGGAUGACGGCCU
rnacentral:rRNA from 1 species